AUUGAACGCUGGCGGCAUGCCUUACACAUGCAAGUCGAACGGUAACGGGCCUUCGGGUGCCGACGAGUGGCGAACGGGUGAGUAAUACAUCGGAACGUGCCCGAUCGUGGGGGAUAACGAGGCGGAAGCUUUGCUAAUACCGCAUACGAUCUACGGAUGAAAGCAGGGGACCGCAAGGCCUUGCGCGGACGGAGCGGCCGAUGGCAGAUUAGGUAGUUGGUGGGAUAAAAGCUUACCAAGCCGACGAUCUGUAGCUGGUCUGAGAGGAUGAUCAGCCACACUGGGACUGAGACACGGCCCAGACUCCUACGGGAGGCAGCAGUGGGGAAUUUUGGACAAUGGGCGCAAGCCUGACCCAGCCAUGCCGCGUGCAGGAUGAAGGCCUUCGGGUUGUAAACUGCUUUUGUACGGAACGAAAAGCCUUCUUUUAAUACAGGAGGGUCAUGACGGUACCGUAAGAAUAAGCACCGGCUAACUACGUG
rnacentral:rRNA from 1 species